AGUGGCGAACGGGUGAGUAACAACGUGGGCAACCUGCCCAAAAGAGGGGGAUAACACUUGGAAACAGGUGCUAAUACCGCAUAACCAUAGUUACCGCAUGGUAACUAUGUAAAAGGUGGCUAUGCUACCGCUUUUGGAUGGGCCCGCGGCGCAUUAGCUAGUUGGUGGGGUAAAGGCUUACCAAGGCAAUGAUGCGUAGCCGAACUGAGAGGUUGAUCGGCCACAUUGGGACUGAGACACGGCCCAAACUCCUACGGGAGGCAGCAG
rnacentral:rRNA from 1 species